rnacentral:tRNA from 1 species
GCGCACGUAGCUCAACUGGAUAGAGCACCUGAUUACGGAUCAGGAGGUUGGGGGUUCGAAUCCUCCCGUGCGUA